UGGGUAUGGAGCAUUCUCUGUAAAAUACUUGUCAGGUUUAUAUAUAUAUGUGUGUUGUGUGUGUGUAUACAUGUAUGUAUUUUAUAUAUACAUCUAUACACACAUAUAUGUAUACACAUAUAUGUGUAUAUAUUAUAUAUAUCUUUAUUUUUUAGUUUUUAUGGAGAUUUUAGAUAUGAAGAAAUAUGAAGGGCUUCCAAAGACUUUUCCCUAGUGCUUAUUAAAUAUUUUAUGUCAUUUAAAGAUUUUGUAUUAAAGUAGAAUGAUAUAUUACUACCUUUUCACUAAGCAAAUACACUCUUCAAAUGCGUAAAUUGUAAAAUUAUCUUUCAAAAAGAUUUUCCUAAUUACAGACUAAUGAUUAAACAUGAAAAACGAAAACCUCGCAAAGGUUGAGACACUGUCGUCUUUACAGUGAAAACAUCAGACAAGUAUAUUCCUGUUCUUUAGGUAUUAUUUGUUACAGUCUUUUUUUUGCCUGCAUAUUACUUUUGCUAUUUUUGUUUUGGCCAACUAAUGAAUGCCUUUUUUUUUUCUGCUGCAGUAUUUGGAAUGUUUGGGUAGCUGUUAAUGAUAGGCAGUCAUCAGGAAUGGACUAGCAUUGUUUUAACAUCAGUGAAUAUGAACUUACUGCUCAUGUCUACCCUGUAAGGUAUGCAUGCUGUCCUGUAAUAUAGGUGAGGAAAAGGACUCAUGUCACAUUGCUUAACCUGUUGCAAAGUUGAAAUCACUAAGCUGUUCGGCAAAGAUUACAGACUCAGGUACUUUGAAUUUGAUGCCUGUGCCUGUGCCUGUGCCUGUGCCUUGCCUGUGCCUUUGUCUUUGCCUCUGCCCAGACAUACUCUGUACUGCUCAUCAGUUGAAUGAAUAGCUUUUUUAAAAAUACUGGCACAUGGCAUGACAGAUGUUAUGUAAUGUUAGAAAAUAAUUCCACAAAAUAUGUCAUUUUUCUUGGAUUGUUUUGAUUAAUAGUCUAUUAAAAAACUCACUAUUUGUGAUUUGUC
rnacentral:lncRNA from 1 species